CUCCUCUUCAACAAGAAAGUCCUCACCGAUGCAGAAAGGUCAAGAUUAUUCCUGCUGAAUACUGACUUAUUUCCAAUUACCCAUGGUCAGGGGCAGUCUG